rnacentral:rRNA from 1 species
GAUGAACGCUGGCGGCGUGCCUAAUACAUGCAAGUCGAGCGAACAGACGAGGAGCUUGCUCCUCUGACGUUAGCGGCGGACGGGUGAGUAACACGUGGAUAACCUACCUAUAAGACUGGGAUAACUUCGGGAAACCGGGCUAAUACCGGAUAAUAUAUUGAACCGCAUGGUUCAAUAGUGAAAGACGGUUUUGCUGUCACUUAUAGAUGGAUCCGCGCCGCAUUAGCUAGUUGGUAAGGUAACGGCUUACCAAGGCAACGAUGCGUAGCCGACCUGAGAGGGUGAUCGGCCACACUGGAACUGAGACACGGUCCAGACUCCUACGGGAGGCAGCAGUAGGGAAUCUUCCGCAAUGGGCGAAAGCUUGACGGAGCAACGCCGCGUGAGUGAUGAAGGUCUUCGGAUCGUAAAACUCUGUUAUUAGGGAAGAACAAAUGUGUAAGUAACUAUGCACGUCUUGACGGUACCUAAUCAGAAAGCCACGGCUAACUACGUG